AGAGUUUGAUCCUGGCUCAGGAUGAACGCUGGCGGCGUGCUUAACACAUGCAAGUCGAACGAACCUUCGGGUUAGUGGCGGACGGGUGAGUAACGCGUGAGAAUCUGCCCUCAGGAGGGGGAUAACGGCUGGAAACGGCCGCUAAUACCCCAUAUGCCGAGAGGUGAAAUGAAUUUCGCCUGAGGAUGAGCUCGCGUCUGAUUAGCUAGUUGGUGGGGUAAGAGCCUACCAAGGCAUCGAUCAGUAGCUGGUCUGAGAGGAUGAUCAGCCACACUGGGACUGAGACACGGCCCAGACUCCUACGGGAGGCAGCAGUGGGGAAUUUUCCGCAAUGGGCGAAAGCCUGACGGAGCAACGCCGCGUGAGGGAUGAAGGCCUCUGGGCUGUAAACCUCUUUUAUCAAGGAAGAAGAUCUGACGGUACUUGAUGAAUAAGCCACGGCUAAUUCCGUGCCAGCAGCCGCGGUAAUACGGGAGUGGCAAGCGUUAUCCGGAAUUAUUGGGCGUAAAGCGUCCGCAGGCGGCCUGAUAAGUCUGUUGUCAAAGCGUGGAGCUUAACUCCAUUUCGGCAAUGGAAACUGUGAGGCUUGAGUGUGGUAGGGGCAGAGGGAAUUCCCGGUGUAGCGGUGAAAUGCGUAGAUAUCGGGAAGAACACCAGUGGCGAAGGCGCUCUGCUGGGCCAUAACUGACGCUCAUGGACGAAAGCCAGGGGAGCGAAAGGGAUUAGAUACCCCUGUAGUCCUGGCCGUAAACGAUGAACACUAGGUGUCGGGGGAAUCGACCCCCUCGGUGUCGUAGCCAACGCGUUAAGUGUUCCGCCUGGGGAGUACGCACGCAAGUGUGAAACUCAAAGGAAUUGACGGGGGCCCGCACAAGCGGUGGAGUAUGUGGUUUAAUUCGAUGCAACGCGAAGAACCUUACCAGGGUUUGACAUCCUGCGAAUCCCUUGGAAACUUGGGAGUGCCUUCGGGAGCGCAGAGACAGGUGGUGCAUGGCUGUCGUCAGCCGGUGUCGUGAGAUGUUGGGUUAAGUCCCGCAACGAGCGCAACCCACGUCUUUAGUUGCCAGCAUUGAGUUGGGCACUCUAGAGAGACCGCCGGUGAUAAACCGGAGGAAGGUGUGGAUGACGUCAAGUCAUCAUGCCCCUUACAUCCUGGGCUACACACGUACUACAAUGCUACGGACAAAGGGCAGCAAACUCGCGAGAGCUAGCAAAUCCCAUAAACCGUGGCUCAGUUCAGAUCGUAGGCUGCAACUCGCCUACGUGAAGGAGGAAUCGCUAGUAAUCGCAGGUCAGCAUACUGCGGUGAAUACGUUCCCGGGCCUUGUACACACCGCCCGUCACACCAUGGAAGUUGGCCACGCCCGAAGCCGUUACUCCAACCCUUGUGGAGGAGGACGUCGAAGGUGGGGCUGAUGACUC
rnacentral:rRNA from 1 species